GUGGGGAAUUUUGGACAAUGGGCGCAAGCCUGAUCCAGCAAUGCCGCGUGCAGGAAGAAGGCCUUCGGGUUGUAAACUGCUUUUGUACGGAACGAAACGGUCCUGGUUAAUACCUGGGGCUAAUGACGGUACCGUAAGAAUAAGCACCGGCUAACUACGUGCCAGCAGCCGCGGUAAUACGUAGGGUGCGAGCGUUAAUCGGAAUUACUGGGCGUAAAGCGUGCGCAGGCGGUGCUGUAAGACAGGCGUGAAAUCCCCGGGCUCAACCUGGGAAUUGCGCUUGUGACUGCAGUGCUGGAGUACGGCAGAGGUGGAUGGAAUUCCGCGUGUAGCAGUGAAAUGCGUAGAUAUGUGGAGGAACACCGAUGGCGAAGGCAGUCCCCUGGGCCUGUACUGACGCUCAUGCACGAAAGCGUGGGGAGCAAACAGGAUUAGAUACCCGUGUAGUCC
rnacentral:rRNA from 1 species